rnacentral:lncRNA from 1 species
UUCUCUCCAUAGAACCCAUCGAAUACUCUACUCUGGCGACGAUAGAGACGCCAUCUUUUGCAACGGAAUGCACGGUGUCGAAAUAUUCGACCUUUCCUUUAUUUCAGCAAGAAGUCUGGCCGCUUUUCGUUGAAUCGUAGACGCCACAACCCAUCUUUUCCGACUAGAUCUGCAAAAACUCAAGUAUAUAUACAUAUAAGUGAAAGGCAGAGCAGAGCCCAUCACAAAUAUUACAACGUCGAAGGUGGAAUUGUAAGAGGGUUGGACGAAAUUUAUGUUGGCCAUGGCUAUGGGUUUUUAAAUUUUGAGUGUGCAAUGUUUAUGUAAUUUUAUG